CAAUAUGACCACCUUGAUGCUGCUAGUUGAUUCCGAUCCUAGCUAUGGAUAUGCUAUGAAUGCCCUUUUUGUUGUAGGAUCUCCUGAGAAUCUCUUCGAACCGGAAAACAUAAGUUUUUUUUGAGGUAACGAUACUGAUCUGGAGAAAUUACUCCUUUUGGGCUGACAUGGGAGCCAAUUUAGGAACCACUAACCAAUCUGGUUUGAUCAGGUCUGCCGCGGAAAAAAUCCCGAGUGAUUUCCCUUGGUCAUCAGCGACCUCGUAGCAACUGGUGCCCUUUUUGGCCACAAUGACGCAGGGCACAUAUUGAGGACCGAAUUUGGAAUUAUAGUGGUUCCCUGCUGACGACUGACGGAAGGUUCUUUUAAAAACUCGCUGUCCAAUGGAAAACGAGGCGAUCGUAUGGAUGUUAGCAGCCAGCAUUGCAAUUUUGCAGUCUUCCCGAGUAUUCCUGAAGAGGACAUCGAAUUUCCGGCUUUCGUCCCACUGGUAUGACAUGUUCCGGAAAAUGCGGACCAUGUCCAAAUAAUAGUCCUGGAACUUUUCGCGUGGAGCCUGCCUACGAGAAUUCAACAUGCGCUCGUACUGAAAGUCGAUAUCGACAGAUUUCAACAAUGCCCGCAAGGUACGUUCGCGUUUGGAGCGGGAAUCUUCCGGCGCAAAAGCAUUGCGUAUGCGCAACUCAUGGCUGAGUUCGUCUUCGGAAAGGUGGGCCGUAUUCAACGAAGCGUAUAUAGAUUUUAGUUGGUUCAACUCCAUUGUAUGACGUGGUAAGAAUUUACAGAAAUAUAAUUUGAAACAACACUUUAAUAGCAAAACAAUGAACAAACGACUCAGAAAUAAAUAAAUUAAUUAAUAGUAAAAUUUAGACGAUAAGUAUCACAGUAUUUUAAGCAUGAGCAAUAAAGAUAAUUUGUUUUGCUGUUGUGUUUUUGAUUUUCCGAGAAUACACUCCACAAAUGAAAUUCGCUCCAAUUCAAAAUUUAAAACUUUAAACAACUUCACUCCGACAUAUACUUUUUAAGCAAUCGUGUUGAACAAUUUCCUUUGACAUCAGAACUCCUAUAUGACUAAUGAAUAGAUCAAGGUUGUGCAAAUAAACGUUAAAUUACCCCAAUUUUAGCAAAAAUUAAAAUGAGAAGGCAUGGGCGUUUUCCCAGAGAUGCAUGCAAGAAACUGGUUGAGCCUCGCUGCGAUAUCCGUGGUAAGUCUAUGGAAAGUUGGGCGCCAAAUAUGUAAGUAUUAAACCUACCACUCCCACCGGCGUGUAAGAGAUUCCCUUUUCUAGGCCUCAGGGCGGCACGCUUACAAUCAAAAUCGCAGGGAGCUUCCAGAAUGCACUCAG